rnacentral:rRNA from 1 species
UCGUGAGAGAACCCUGGUUAAGGAACUCUGCAAAUUGACACCGUAACUUCGGGAGAAGGUGUGCCGCUGGCGGUUAGUGACUUCGCGUCACGAAGCUGUUGGUGGUCGCAGUGAAAUGGCGGUUGUGACUGUUUACUAAAAACACAGGACUCUGCGAAGUCGUAAGACGACGUAUAGGGUCUGAUGCCUGCCCGGUGCUGGAAGGUUAAGGGGAUAUGUCAGCGCAAGCAAGCAUUGAACCGAAGCCCCAGUAAACGGCGGCCGUAACAAUAACGGUCCUAAGGUAGCGAAAUUCCUUGUCGGGUAAGUUCCGACCUGCACGAGGGCAUAACAACAUCCGCACUGUCUCGACCAGGGACUCAGCGAAAUUACAUUGGGGGUGAAGAUGCCCUCUACCCGCGGAAAGACGGAAAGACCCCAUGAACCUUUACUGCAACUUGGCAGUGAUUUUCGGGUUGUUCUGCGUAGGAUAGGUGGGAGGCUUUGAAGCCGGGCUUCCGGGUUCGGCAGAGCCAACGUUGAAAUACCACCCUGAAUAAUCUGGAAAUCUAACCUGCGCCCAUGAUCUGGGCGAGGGACACUGCCUGGUGGGCAGUUUGACUGGGGCGGUCGCCUCCUAAAUUGUAACGGAGGCGUGCGACGGUUCCCUCAGGCUGAUUGGAAACCAGCCGUAGAGUGCAAACGCAUAAGGGAGCUUUACUGCGAGACUGACAAGUCGACCAGUUGCGAAAGCAGGUGUUAGUGAUCCGGUGGUACCACAUGGAAGGGCCAUCGCUCAUCGGAUAAAAGGUACUCUGGGGAUAACAGGCUGAUCGCGCCUGAGAGUUCACAUCGGCGGCGCGGUUUGGCACCUCGGUGUCGGCUCAUCGCAUCCUGGGGCUGGAGCAGGUCCCAAGGGUUUGGCUGUUCGCCAAUUAAAGCGGUACGCGAGCUGGGUUUAAAACGUCGUGAGACAGUUUGGUCCCUAUCUUCCGUGGGCGCAGGACACUUGAGAGGAGCUAUCCAUAGUACGAGAGGACCUGGAUGGACGAACCUCUGGUGCUCCGGUUGUCACGCCAGUGGCAUAGCCGGGUAGCCAUGUUCGGAACAGAUAACCGCUGAAGGCAUAUAAGCGGGAAGCUGGCCUCAAGACUAGGUGUCCCUGACGCAAGUCACUAAAGGCCCCUCGAAGACUACGAGGUUGAUAGGCUCGGUGUGGAAGCGCUGCGAGGCGCGGAGCUAACGAGUACUAAUAGGCCGUGAGGCUUGACCUC